CAGGAGCAAGAGGAGAGAGCAAGAGAACAAGAGAGCAGAUUAGACAUUUUAAACAAGGGUGCAUUGACCAUGGCCUCUAAAUUAUCCUCAGGUCCAGGGGCAGGAAAUGUAAUUUCAUGGAAUUAUUUAAAGUUCUUUAGUCACCUUUCCCCAAAAUCCCAGUGGUGCUUUCCCCAAAGUGGCCCUUAUGCCUGGCUCCCUUCCCCGUCUCCAAAGGGACUGGGAAAUAUAGUCAGGGUGUCAUCUGAGUGACUUUGAUAAGUGGUCACCCUGGUGCUGGCAUGUUCAUGGGGUCUUUAUGCCUUGCUAGAAGGAAUUCCUUCACUUCCUUCACUGUGGUAUCUUAGGUCCCUUGCUGCCAAGAGCCUAUCUUUCUCCCUACAGCUUUUACAAGCUUAGUCUCUACUUUAAAACUAUUCAUCUCCUCCCCCAUGUCUGCAGCUGCAGUGGUAGUGGCGGCGGCAGCAUGGGAGGAGGAACAGGAAGGAGCAGGAGCCAAGGACUGCAUUUGGGACAGUGGUUCUCCAGCCAUGACAUCCAAACCACUGCCUGCCUCUUGCUGGGCUUCCAAAUCCAUAAGGGGCAAAAUGAGAAAGAAGAAGGUGAAGGGGGAGGGGGAGAAAGAGGAGAAGGAGGAAGAGGAGGAAGAAGAGAAGGAGGAAGAGGAGGAGUUCUUAUUAAAGCAUGUUCAACCUGUGGAGAAGUCAGCAGGUAACCUGCUUCUGUUUAUUUCUGAAGAACAGAUAAUUAGCCACUUUGUGGUCCCAAUUUCUAGGGACAUGACACUUGUACUGUUGUUAUCUAUGGUCCCUAGCUCACUGUGGCUCUCAUGGGAUGAACAGAACCCACUUUACCCAGUAUCUGAGGAAUGUUGACUCAGUAGCAAUCCUUACUCAGUAGUUCACCUGAGCCCACUUUGUCAUUUAGAAUACUCAGCCCUGUUUUGACUUUCUGCUUCCAACCCCAAAAAACCCUGAGACCCUGAGGCUAUACAGAGAACCAACAGACAAGCCAUAGAUGUUUCCUUUUCUGUCCCAGGAUGGGGAUGACUGCUCAAUAUGAUCAACUAUGCAGAGCAUUCUGAAUUGCACCCCCACCCCUGCUCCCAUCAACACAGAGUGACUUCGGUGAGAUUCUAGGGUCUACAUUUCUUCUCUUCUGGCUAGAAGGGGGAGUUUCCCGAAUCAUCUGCAUGCUGUCACAAUGCUGGGAAUGAAAACGCCUAGCUCACUGUGGCUCUCAUGGGAUGAGUAGAACCCACUUUACCCGGUAUCUGAGGAAUGUCAACUCAGUAGCAAUCCUUACUCAGUAGUUCACCUGAGCCCAGCUUGUCAUUUAGAACGCUGUCACCGCCAUUUGGAGACCUAACAGUCUCCAGAACUACAUAAGGGACACCAAGUCAACUGGCUUCUACAGAGAUUUGGGGCUUGUCCUGUGAACAAGGACUAAGUUUAUAGUCCAUUGAUGGCUCUACUUAGAAGACAGACAAAUGCUGAGUAUCAAGCAGUAAUCCCAGCCCCUGAGAAACCGAGGCAGGAGAAUCAUGAGUAUAAGACCACUGUAGGCUACACAGUGGUAUCUAUGCCAGACCAUAUAGUUAGACAGGAGAAGGGGGGAGAGGGAGUGAGGGAGGGAGAGGGAGAGAGAACAGGAGAAAGCAAGCUCAAUAUCCAUAAUUGGAGGUAGAGCUGAGAUGGUGGGGUCUGGUAAGGGUGAUUAGCUCUGGCGAGGAUGUGUAGGUGAGAUGUGGGUUCUGGAAUGAAGGGAACAGAGACAGAUGGGAAUGAGAGAUAACUUGUCCUUUCCUACUAGAAGUUUCCUGAUGCUGUAAACAGCCCCCUUUUUACCCCAGAAUCUUCAGUAUCAUCCACUCAGCUAGGUCCAAGUACUCAAGUGUCAAAGGACACUUGUAAUACAAUGUUGACCUGUUGCUGAGACACGGCAGCCUUCCAAUACACUCAGCGAGUGGAGGACUGGGACACCCAAGAGCAGAGGCUACCUCUGCCAACAUUUAAAGCAGCUUACCACUGGUAGUCAGAACAGUGUUCCUUCCUGAUGUCAAUGUAUUGCAACAUGUCCCUCAUAGGAAACAUCACAGCAAAAACUUAGAACUGUCACAUGCUGGUCACUGAGUCCAGUUACUAAUAACAAGAUGGCCCCAUUGUGGAUCAGCAGGAUCUGUCUCAUGAACUGUCAAGACAUUAUCCGUAUCAGCUGCUGGAGUUAACACAAUUCCGGUUUUAAUCUAUCUGUCACGUAACCAUAUAGCUUGCUUUGUUCGUUGUUUGUUUGUUUCUCUCUCUUUCUUUCUCUCUUUCUUUCUUCUUUCUUCCUUCCUUUCUUUCUUUCUUUCUGCCUGCCUGUCUGUCUGUCUCUCUUCCUUUGGUUUUCAUCUUCCUAACUGGCAAAGAUGAAAAGGGUCAGAACUUCUCUGAUGAGAGAGAUACACACCAAGGAUUCGAGGUCACAACCACAGUGAACAUGUAACUUCAACUUAGACAGCACUUCUUAAAACCUUUUUUACUGAUGCACCAAAAUCCUAAUCAUCGCCUAGUCACUCCAUAUCCUCCUUCCACCCUUCCAAAAAUAAACCUAAUUAAUUAAUCAAUUACAUUUUAAAAAGAAAUCUCACUAUGGAAGCUGUAAUAUGUCACAAUGUGUCACACAGUAUAUACCCUUUUGUCCAUACAUCUUUACUUGCAAAUGUUCAUUGCAAUGAGUCAUUGGUGUGGUUCGAGACCUUUGGCUUCUUCUACACUCAGUACUGUGUCCUCACUGGGACUCUUCUCUGAUAUCCCGUUGUUGCCCUGUUUCAUGGAGAUUCUGUAGCUUUGGUUCUAUAGAACCGCAUGCUCUAGCACCUCACAGAUGGGGUAGAUGUUGGGGUGGAAUAACUAAAAGCACUGGAUCUGGGCAGGGUGGUAGCUGAGUUGGUCAGCCUGCCAACUCUUCUGUGCCUAAGCUACCAGAGCAGUGCCCAGGAGAGGGAUGAGGCCUGCUCUCAUGCCCUCAGAGCUGGCUCUCCCAAGCUGCCCGGGUGAAGGACAAGGCCCACCUGGACGUCUCCAUGACCUCAGGUGGCAGCAGAGGUUACCCAUGCCAGGCUGUUCCUUACUGUCAUUGCAUCUCCAGUUCUGCCUCUCUGUGCACAAACAUCUCUGCUUCUCUUCUCUCUCUACCACAUACUUGUUCAUUGUAAUACUCUGGCUCCUUGGACAGCACUUUUAACAGCUAACUGACAUCCAAAAUGGUCCAUCCAUUUUUCACUCGGUUCAAAGAGAUGAACUGCAAUAGAAAGUGAUGGGAACCAUUAUCCAUGCAUUUAAAAAUUGUGUGUGUGUUUAUUUCACUACAUUUACUAAUGUAUUUAAGCAUAUGUUAUAUAUCACAUACUAUAUACCAUAUAUCAUAUAUCACAAUAAUACAUCAUGUAUUGUAAAUAAUAUACCACAUAUUAAUAUGAUAUUAACAUAUAUAAUAUGUUAAUAUUAUAUAUGCAUAUAUAAUUUUGGGAUGCUGGGGAUGAAUCCCCAUGCUUUCUACAUCUUGGUUGUCUGUAAGUCUUCACAAGUGAUUGCAGCCAUUGAAAUUCCUCCUGAGAUCUUUUGAUUUUAGGAUGAGAGGGUCUUCCCCUUAAUAUGAGAUACCUGCCAAGAGUAGCUAUCCCAAUUACACCUGCAGACCUAGGAAAGAGGAUCCAAGUGUAUGACACAAGUCAGUAUGAUCUGGGAACUCAGCCUCUCGGCUGAAGAACAGAAUGUCUUUGUACAGUAUCAACCUAGUCUUAUACCCAGUGGUCAUGGAAAGGACUACGUCCCUCCACCCGGUGCAUGUUACACUGGUAAAUGUCUCUCUGUGGCAUGAGCAGGGGACCACCAAUAGAACACACUGUGGUAAUGGCACAAUAACUUAGAGCAACAAUAUUUGUUCUGUCUUCAAUGAUUGGUGCUUGAGUCUUUUAUUAGUCAAGGUACUCUAGAGAAGCUUAAUUUAUAGAAUGAAUAUAUGUGUGUAUACUGGAUAUAUAAUUAAUUAUAUGACUAGAUAAUAAUAUAUAAUGAAUAUAUGUGAUCUAUUAGAGUGGCUUAUAGGCUGUGGUCCAACUAUUCUAACAAUUGUAGUCUCCUGACAGAAAGUCCAGGAAAUCCAGCCAUGAGGCUGGAUGACUCAGCUGGUCUUCAGUGUAUGUCAGAAUCCUGGAGAAGUAGGCUCUGAUGCCAAUGAAGAAAUGGACUUGCUAGUGAGAAUGAGGGCAUGCGGGCAUGCAGGCAGAGAACAAGCUUUCUUCUUCCCUGUCACCGGGUGACACCAGAAGACUAACGUUAAAUGGAGGCUGGAGAGGAAGAUGGCUCAGCAGAUGAGAGCACUUACUACUUUUGCAGAGGACCUGGAUUUGGUUCCAUGGGACCUGAUGUUCCCCGCUGGCCUCUGUAGGCACCCGUAUGAAUGUUGUGCAAAGAACUCCACACACAUACCCCUAACAAUAAAAAGCAAACUUAAAAAAUAGUUACAUUAAGUGAAAUUCAUUCUCUAAAAACCAUCAGCCAAACAAACUGGCAUGUAAAAAAGCUGAGCUUGUGUGUAUGUGGUGUGUGUGUGUGUGUGCGUGUGUGUGUGUGUGUGUGUGAGAGAGAGAGAGAGAGAGAGAGAGUAUGGAUAUGGUAUGUGUGAGUGAGUGUACGUCUGUGGUGUGUGCGUAUAGCAUAUGUGUGUGAUAUGUGGUAUGUGUGUGCAUAUUUGUGUGUGUAUAUGUGUGUAUAUGCUUGUGUGUGUAUAGUGUUUGUGUGUGUGUAUAUAUGUGUGUGUAUGGUAUGUGAUGUGUGUGUGCAUAUGUGUGCGUAUGUUUGUGGUGUGUGUAUAGUGUAUGUGUGUGUUUGGAGUGUGUGAGUGUAUGUGUGUGUAUGGUAUGUGUGGUAUAUGUGUAUGGUAUGUGGUGUGUGUGUGAGUGUGUAUGAGUAUGUAUUAUGUAUGAGUAUUUAUGUGGUGCUUGUGUGUGUGCAUACAUGUGUGUGUGUGUGUGUGUGUGUGUGUGUGUGUGUGUGUUGGGGGGUAGAGGUCAAUGUUAUGUAAUAUUUCUUAGCAACCAAAUACCUGUUUUUUGAAACAAGGUCUCAUAUUGUAAUCUUAGGCUCGCUGAUUAGAUAGGUUUGGCUGUCUACUUCUACCUCCCCAGUGCUGGAAUUAAAAAUAUAGCCACCCAGUUUUUACACAGGUGCUGGGGACUGAACUCAGCCCCUCAUGCCUGCAAAGUAUGUUGGUUUGAAUAAAAUGGUCCCUGCAGGCCCAUAGGGAGUGGUGCAGCUGGGAGAUGUGGCUCUGCUGGAGUAAAAGCAUGGCUUUGUUGGAGGAAGUGUGACUGUGGGUGGGCUUUUAGGUCUCAGAAGCUCAAGUCUGGUGUGUGUCUCCAUCUUCCUACUGCCUUUGGGUCAAGAUGUAGACCCUCGGCUCCUUCUCCAGCACCAUGCCUGCCUGUGUGCAGUCAUACGUUCCACCAUGAUGAUAAUGAAUUAAGCUUCUGAAACUGUAAGCCAGCACCAAUUAAAUGUUUUCCCUUAUAAGAGUUGUCAUGAUCUCUCUUCACAACAAUAGAAACCCAAAUUAAGAUACAUAGUAAACACUUUUCUGACUGAACUACCUCUCCAGACCUAUGCCUCUUUUAAAUGUCAAGCAUGGAAAAUUCGUGCAUUACACAUCCAUUAAACAGUUAAGAGCUGGUCUACACCAAGAUUACAGCAAUGUCUUAGUUUCCUUAUAUUGUACCUUGGGGAGAAAAGGGUUUAUUUCAGCUUAUAGGUUAUCACUGAAGGAGACCAAAGCAUGCACUCAAAGCAGGAACAUAGAGGCAGGAACUAAAGCAAAAACCAUUGAGAAACACUGCCUAUGAGCUUGCUUUUCAUGACUUUCUCAGCCUGUCUUAUACAACUCAGGACUACCUGCCCAAGGGCGGCGCCAUCUUGUCUGGAAGAAGGUGAACCAAGGACUGAAAAGGGCCACACUAUGGAACAACCAAGAGGCAUAGGGUUGUCUUUGCUAGGAGUGGGGAGGUAGGAGGCCAUUGGUUUUGAACAGCGAUAAAGGUGAUGCUAGGUUGUGUCUGAGCUGUGUACACAUUUUCACAUCAGUGUGAAUGCUUCUGGGUUCAGUGAAUACAGCAACUACACUUAGAAGACAGGGAUUCAGAGAGAUGGUGAGGCAAUUUUGGUCCCAGGGAGACGGGACUGACCAUGGGAGAUCCCAUGGUGCAGGUGAGCUUCCAAACUGCAUAGAUUGCCCUUGUGGAAGAAUCGAGAAAGCCCUCUCUGCCCCCAGUGUUAGGCUCACACACGGAGUCUGUCAACCCUUUCUGCAGCUCUGCUGUCCCUAGCAGGAGACACUCCACUUGUCCUGCACUGCGUCUCUAGACUUUUUAACUCGUAAACUCCACAGCAUUGACAAGCAGGACAAUAAAAUCUCUUUGUUCCUGGUGGCGGUAUCUGUUUCUGUAACCUUUGGCUUCUGUCUUCCCUAGUACUUUUAUACAUCUGGUUAUGUAAAUAAAGUAAAAGAUACACUGAGUUUGUAACAGUACUUCUUGUCCAGCCCUGAACUCCUCCUCCAGCCUGCCCUGUGCAGCUGAGCUAGAGGUAAAAAACCCUUUUUGAAGUCUCCUCUACACAGGACGGGCAGUGCCUCAUUGAGUACAGAAGGUCAUCUAAGGUCGCCUCCUUGAGCCUGGGCCAACAAACCUCCCAGGGGUCUCUGUCCAAGAGAGGACAAUUUAGGUGCCCAAGUUGCUUGUGGACUCUUUCUUCAGCCUGAGGAGGAGGGCAGGCCGCACCUCUGGGGCUGGACAGUCUUCCUGGAGAUACGUGCUUUGAGCUGUGUAACUCCUGCUCAGUGUUCUUUGGCCUUCUUUACCCUUGCUGGUGCUCAGACAGAGUGUUCAUGGGAAAAUGUAGCUGCAAAUAUUCCUUGGAGACAUCAGUGGACAGAGAAUUGCAAGAGACAAGAACCCUCCCGGGCCAUUAGGAGUAUAACUCAGUGGUCAGGGAGGAAGGAAACCUGUCUCUGGCAAGUCCCCUAGCCAUGUGGGAGCACAUUUGCGCCCUUGUGCCCUAAAGAGCUUCCCAUGAGUUAGAGGAACUUGCUCCAAGGAAACCAGACCCCAGGGGGGAGUAGAAUUGCUACUGCCCAUGGCAGUACUGGAGCAACUGGAAUAUAUACACAAAAUCCUAGCACACACCUUCAUAUAACACAUCUUACCAAGCACCACACACAGAUCAUCACAUGCACACAGUAUACAUUCCCCAAAACACAACCCAAGAGAAAAAUGAUUUUUAAAAAUGUGUUCAUAUUUGGCCUGGAGGGACACAGCUCAGUUGGUAAAGAGUUGCAAUAAAAAUAAAAAAGUGGUAGAAUCAGUUCCAGCUUACCCUGGCGGUCACUACCUCUGACUCCAACGGGCCAGUGGAACUAGCACAAAUUUAUCUCAGCUGAGAAUCUCUCCUGGCCGCUCUCUGCUAGCCUCGAACUCUCUGGUUCCAGGUACCCGGCAAAAUCAUGGUUCUAGAAGUCCAGCAGUGGCUGGCCUAUCACGGCUCUCUGCCACCAACUCUGCCCACUCCCAGCAACCACCCCUUAGUUAAAGUAUAAACUCCCAAUUACCCAGUAAAAUCAAGACUCAACAAACUGUAACUCAAUGAUUAGAUUUAUAGUUAAAUUCUCAAUCCACAAUACAUCCACACAAUAAAUUCACUGCCAGUUAAUAAAGAUAUAAACCGCCCACCUAGACAAGAUAAAAUUGACCUAGUCCAUCUGGAUUCGGAUCAAGUUGCUUCUCUCUCCUUCCUAGACGUUUCCCCGCCUACCCUUCCUUCUCAUCCAAUGAUAGGCUUCGCCUUAUCCUGGACCCCACUUGCUGCAUCAUGACAUCAUCCUACAGUAAAGUGCUUGCCUUACAAGCACGAGAACCUGCAUUCAAUCCCUGAAGUCAUAGAAAACUGUUGGACCUGGGCACAUGCUGGCAAUCCCAGUGGUGGAGAGGCAGAGACAGGAGCAUCCCUGGGGCUCACUGGCAAAUUGGUGAGCUCCAGGCCAAUAAAACCCCUUGUCUGAAGAAAGGUAGAUGGCAUUCAUGAUGGCAUCUGGGAUAUGUUCCAUCAUCCCCAUUCAUGUUCACAUGGACAUAUGAAUGCAUGUACAUGAAAGUACAUUCAGUAUACACUGGAGUUUAGUGGAACUAAAAUGGCCGCAUAAAUACAAGUGAGCAACAGAGCAGAGGGGUUCAGAGCGCAUGUGUUGGUGUGGGCAAGAGACUGACAGGGCUGUGUCCUGAGAGGGGAGGGCAGUGCCUGUCACAGAGAGGCGGCUGUGAGAGUCAGUGAGUGCUCUUCUGGUGGUCAUUACUUCACUCCUGUCCCUGAAGUGCCACAGAAGAAGCCAGCUCAUACACUGCAGGUGGGCACUUUUUGGAAGGGAACCCUGAAGCAUUUGUGUUAAAUACCCUUUGAUCUUCCCAUAACCCAACAAUUCCUUUUCCCUGACGGCACAUGUGGGGAAGGCACUCCUGGGUCUGUGCCGAUGACAGUCACAGCAGCAUUGUGAUUAGCACGAGAGGAGGAAACGGGGGGUGGGGGAGGCUUCAUGUUCCAUCCAUGACCUUGGCUGCAGGCUGUCUGCCUGGCCACCCAGCCUUGAAGUUUUCCUUGGCUCUUCUCUAACCACCCAGCUAACAGUCCAGUCCUGUAUUCCACCUCUGUCAGAACCAGGCCACUUUCUCCACGAAGGCUGGCUUCCUUGUCUGCUCUCAUGUCCUCAAAACCAUGACAGUGCCUGGCAUACACUAGGUUUCCUGUCUGUCUAUGCAUGUGUUUCUGUGUACCACAUGCAUGCAGGUGACCAUGGAGCCACAAGAGGGCGUCAGAGCCUCAGGAACUGGAGUUACAGGUGAUUACCAGCUACCCAGUGUGGGUGCUGGGAAUAAAACCCAUGUCUCUGAACAGUAAGUGCCCUUAACCAUGGAGCACCUCUCCAGCCCCAGGGUCCAGUCUUCGACUGUACUGCCCAAGAACCCAUAUGGUGAAACACUCAUGAAACACCCUUCCAGAAGAGUCUGCAGAAUCACAGGCCCAGCACGAUGGCUGUAGUCUUCUAGCACAUGUGGAAAAGCCCAGAUGAGAGGCACUAAAUUGCUAGCAGGCUUACUCAUGGCCGCUUUUACUUUUUUCUCCGUGUAUGAAUAUAUUUUCCAGAUAUUUAAAAAUAACUACCCAUUUCUUUUAUAAUUGUGGAAAGUGAGUAAGAUCGAUGGCAACAGCAAGGGAUCCUUCUGGAAUGAACCGUAAUGGGAAUCAAAGGUCUGGCUGCUUGAAGAAUCCUGAGAAAUACCUGCAUUUGAACAUGGCCAUGACGCCUGUCUGUUAUAGCCACUGCUUCCAGACCAUCGCUCCACAAUCAGGAGCAACCUCACAAUGGCUCCUUCCUUCCUUCCUUUUAAGGACCCGUUAGAGUGAGUGCAGCUGAGGUGACAGGUGUAGUUUGGGGGGGGGGGGAUCCAUGUUUUACUUAACAGAAAAUCUGAGAAUAAAUUAGUCCUUCCCACCCCCACCCACACUCCCAAGUCCUGGGUAACAUCUUGGAAGCUCUUUAUGGGAGACUGGCUUCUUUGUCCCCUCUGGGCAUCCCACUUGCAGAGACCUUGCUGGGACUUACUGUACUUGAGAUCUGUGAACUUGCACACAAGGAGAGGCCUCAGAUGGGCCUGGCGAGGGGACCCUCAUGGAAGCCCCAACCACACAUCAGAAGAUGCUGGAGCCAUCUGGACUCUGGGUUUCUUCUAUUCUCCAUUUCCUCAGUACCUCAGUUUCACCAUCUGUCCUGCUAUAAUGCUGCUAGGCCCAUUCAGAUAUUUGUAAGGGGAAGUGAAACGUACCGUCCUGCCGGGAUAUGCUGUUCUAUGAAUCUUAAGCCUUGGCGCCCUCCUUGAGGCUCUGAGGAGGUGUAGAAGGAAGCAUUGAGAGUUGGGACAUAGUAGAAGGGAGGGAGGCCACUCGGGAUGUGCCUGUGACAGCAGUAUUAAGACCCUUAUUCUUGGGGGGGAGGGUAUAAGACUGGGGGAAAGGGGAUUACAUUUGAACUGUAAGUACAUAAACUAUCCAAGAAAAAUAAAAUUAUUUUAAAAAGACCCUUAUUCCCUUCCUGUAUUAUUUUUGCUUUCUAGCCACCAUGACCCAACCGCACUGUCUUCUGUGACAAACUGCAUGCCAAUAAGAACAAGACCAACUGAUCGUGGACUAGAGCCUCAGAAAGUGAACUAAUCAAAUCUUGGUUCCAUUUUCCAGUUCCCCGCUGUAACCUGACAGAGGUCAGGCCUAUCUCCCUACCCGGACCCUCAGAACCCUGAACCCUGUGUCAGGAGCUUCUUGCCACCGUGAAGGCAGCUCAGAGUCAUGGGUUGGAAGCCGCUGUUUGAUUGGCAGGUAAGUGCUCCCGGGCACACAUGAGCAGGCUUAGGACAGCCAUUGUGCACCAUGUGACCAGACCUCUGGUUUCUGUUUAGGUGGGUCUUGUACUACAUAGUCAUAGUGUAUCUCAUGCCUGUUGGGAAGCAGGCCUAGGGAGAAGCCAGCCUGUGACAAAAGAAUGUAACAGCUGUGCAAGUUACAAGAAGGGAGAAAGGCAGCAGCCUGGUUUUGUGUACUGAGCAGACCCUACAUCCGUAAAGCACAUUCUGUCCAGUUCACUAACGCUCAGUCCAGUUCACUUGGUAAAGUCUAGGGCAUAAGGGCCAUAACUGGCUACAAGAAGUAGGAAACAUGCAUUUAUACUUCAGCAAUCCUGGGAACUUCCGCAGCUGUUGGCUGUUGGGAAUUAGAAACCUAAAAAACAUUCCAAGCUUGGGAGAAGAUGGGGUCUGGAGGAGUCGCUGCAGUGUCUGCAAGGGACAACAGCUCCCAUUGCAUCAGAGCUAAGGCUCUGAAGGCAGAGAGGUGGGGCAACUUCCCCAGCAUCCUACAGCCUGAGGGGCUGGGGUCUAGAACCCUGAUCGCCAUCUCCCAGCUGUAAAGCUGAGCAAAACCCCAAGGCUCUUUCGCUCAGUCAGCCAAGCGCAGGAGCCAGGCGCGGCGAUCAGGCUAAAUAAGCACGUGUUGCUAGGCUGGCGACAAAUAACGCGGCUAAUUCUUCUCGCCCUGCUGGUCCCUGCGCACAGGGACAGUCGCGGGACCGCGCCCCAGAAGCAGCUGCAGAGGCGGAGGCCGCCCGGGAAGGCACAGCGGGCCGGAGCUGGGGUCCUCGCCCGCCGCGCCUUUCAGAGUUAAUUAGCCCUCAUGAAUAUGGAUGCCUCUGCCAAUUUAAUACGGUUGAGAGGUCAUAACCUGACCUCGGCGAGGCGUGCAGAAAGAAAAGACGACUUUUCUCAGUUCUCCCCCUAAUUGAAAGGCUGUUGUAGACUGUGCGCGGUGGGUGUGAUCGCGCCACCGCCCAGGCUCUGCACGCCCAGGGAACAGUGGCUGGGGCCGCUACUCGCGGCCACCGGGCUGUCCAGGAGCAGGGCCUAAUUACCUACAGGUACGUGCGGGGCAGGCGGCUGUGCCUCCCACCUAAAUGUUGCUACGAUGCUAUUGAACUGGAAAUGGGUCCUGGACCCUUCCCUCUUCCACGAUGGUUUUCAUUUCCUGUAAUUUGGAGCUGGAAGCGUUUAUGGAACAUCACAUGGUCUUCGUUUACACAGGAAAUCAGCUGCAGUUGUGAGAAGAUACUGACUCACUUUUUUGUUUGUUUGUUUUUAAAAAUUCUUCCCUCCUCCGCCCCCCCCCCACCAAGAGACAAAAGGAAAAGACCAGCUUGUGACAUUUGCUUUGAAAUAGCUUUCUUUUUUGAUCCCGAGUCCUCCAAAGUGGGCUGUGAUUACAAGGGAAACGUAGUUUAUUUCUGACACGUGGUAAUCUCUCCAUGUGAAGCAAGCCCAGUGCCAAUAGAUACUUUAGUUUUUCUCCCCCAAAGAAGCCAGCCUAGAAGGGCGGGGGCGGCCCUGGAGCACAGCUGCGCCUGCUGAAUCCCUUUGACGGUGGGAACGGUUUCCGAGGCUUGCAUGGGAAAGAGGCAGACUGAACCAGGCAGCCUUGGAGUUUAGUUUACACCUCGGACACUGCCAUCAUCGAACCCUAAAAUCGUCUCCCACACCCUGACAAUAGCAAAAAGUCUUCAUCCAGCUACACUUCACAAAUGUGUUCUCAGUCUAGCCCCAGACAUCACCCCAGCCAUCAUCAGAGAACCACCAGGCUCUAACAAAGAUUGAGAACGACAUGGAAGGAAUUACGAAAUGGUUUUCGAUUGCCUUCGGGCUACCACGGACUGGAACGCCCCUACCCUACUCCCACGCCCCGCCCGCCCCCAAGCCUGCACGCCCCCCGGGGGGGGGGUCUGUUCUAGCCGCUCACCCUCCACCCACAGGUCUGAGGAUAACCAGUGCUCCCUGUGUAACAGCGCCACCUUGUGGCCAGUAUCCCACCUCCUCAUUGCCCUUUUCUGGGGUCCUGGAGAAGAUGGCUUCAAACUUUAAGGGUGUCUAUUCACCACAGCACUGGAGUUCCUGCCGAGAGCUGGAAUGCGCUCAUCUUCUUUCUUCCUGGAAUGAUCUGAAAACACAGGGAACUGUGACUCUUCAUUUCCUCCCCUAAAACUCUCCACAAUUACAUACCCAUUCCUUUUAGUUAAGGCUUGACACCCAAUUAAAUAGUUCAGGCACCUAUUUCAUGGCGAACUGGGUAAUCAUCUUUUCCUGGCAUGAGUAGGAUUCCAGAGAGGGGAAAGAACAGAGAUGGAGGGGGCACAAGACAGAUAGUUUUAGUCUUUGAAGGACAGUGUGCUGCUCACUCCCUCCCUGGGACUAAGAAAGAUGGCCCUGCGUGGUGGAGGUGGGGGGUCAGGGAGAGGACCUGUGAGGACGGAGCCCUGUGAACAUUUCAGGGUUGGAGAAAAUACCAAGUUUUUAUUGAGUCUCCGGGACCUGCGUGGCUCUUGAUGGUCACGUGUCCCUGGCAGAUGAGACCCAUUUCCCUGCAGCUCAGACAGGUGACUCCAUUUUUUUUUUUUUUGCCCUCUUUCCCAGUCCAUAACCGCCAACAGUCAUCUGUGUGAACAUUAAGCUUAGUCGGUGAUGGGCUCUCUAGCAGGUCUGCUGACCAUGGAGGACAAAGUCUUCUGCCUACAGCUCUCUCAGUCUCCAAAUUUAAAUAUUGUAACUUGACCUGUUCUUUGAAACCAAAUAUUAGCAAGGGCGCCCAACAUGCUCUUGCCUACUGAAUCUCUCCUUCUGGCAGGUCAGUCAUCUGUGCCGUGGACCAGCCACCUGAGGCUUUUCUGGGCUUCCUGAGGGUAGGCAGGCAACGGUCCCCUCCAAUACACACAUGUCUACAGCUGCUCCUGUCGUCACAGGAAGCCGAGUGAAGAAUCCUAUUCCUUCCUGCAGGUGGCCUUCGUUCACUGUUCCUGGCCUCUCAUGACCCCGAGUUCCUCCCAGGAAGCCGCAUGUUCCUUAUUUAUUAUCUAACUGAUGAACUAUUUGGGUCUGCUACCUAAGGGCUACUUGGCACUUCCUCAGCUUGCAGCCAGGGGAUGAGAGUUUGUGUGGAGUGCUGGCUCCCUUUGUGCCCUCUGCAAUGAGGCGGAGUGUUUUGAAGGAUGUGGUCUCACUGUCAUAGCCUCAGCCAGGAACUCUCCUCGUCUGCCCACCCUUCUGGAAAUAUGAACUUUAUUGUCCCUAUGGAGUGAGAUAAGGACAUCAUGGACCUAAUCAUGUUUUGUUCUUCCUAUAUAGUGCCUUGGUUUUGAGUAAAGCAGUUCCCAAUGAAUCAUGGGUAGAGGAGCCUCAGUCCUCUUCGGGAACCAUCUGGAGAAUGGGAAGUUUUCUGGGGGAGGAAAAGAUUGAUGAAGAAAAGCAAAUGCCUGGGAGCCUCUCCCUUGGAAUGUACAGACAUCAGUAAAUGUCCCUAACCAGGAUAUCACUUAAGGGCCUGAGCUGGCAGCUGCCUGGGGCCUCACCCAUUGUGGCCUCUCCUUGUACUUUCUGGGAGAGUAGUCAAUCCUGAGUUCCUGAACCUAGGGUAUUAUAUCCUGGGCACAACUGUGCAUAAAUCUACCUUUUGAUAUGUAUUCACUCCUGUUGCAUUCACAGCAGGGGAAAAGCCUCAUUGGAAACAAGCCAGAAUGAGAUAUAUAAUGAUGUUGUUUAGAGGCAACAGUUUCUUUCCGUGUUGUUGACAGUAAAAUAAAUUAGCAUAAUAAACAUAAUUUGCUCAAAAAAAAACAGCUAAGGAAAAGCAGAUGGUUAGUACAUUCCUGUAGGACCUGUUGGUCCAAGUUUGCACGGAUGUUUAGCGGUUUGGGCUGCUUGCAACAGAUGCUCUCCCUGGUUCCAGGUUCCAGCACUAACUGGUGGGGCCCCUCUCAACAGGCAGUCUCCUCUGCGGGAUCCGGUGCCUAGAAAGAGGUGCAGCCGGGUCCCCAGCACUUUGGUGUGCAUGAUAGGGCCAGCCCCAGGAGAGGAGCCCAAGCAGCAGGUUGGCCUCCCCGCAGCGCAGAGUCAGAGCCUGCAAACCUCCUUGGGCCAUUAGCAUUCAAGUCCCGUCGCCUGCCCUGAGUCAUCCUUUGUGCACCGGGAACAAGGGAGCUUUCUUCCGGGGAGGAUGGCGCCAAAAUGUUCCAGCAUCCAGAGGCUUCUGGGGCCAGUGUGCCUCGUUCAUGGAAGAGAAAAGUUGUUGCUGCUGCUGCUGCUGUUGUUGUUGCUGCUGUUAUUGUUGUUCCCCCCACCCCGGGAGGGUCGUGGUGCUUGGAGGGUUCCUUUUCCUCUUUGGAUUGGAAGUGAAAGGACCUGAGGGUCACUGCCAUUGCAAGUCCACUCAUGCCCUGAAUUUGCACCAGGCAGAGGCUCAUUAGCAGUCUCCCAUAAUGCUGCAUUCUUUCCUGAAAACAGAGAGGAAAGCCAAGCAGAACGGAGCCAGUAGGGAGCUGCACAGAAAUGCUCACUGUACUCAGUUGGAGGGGCUGAGGGCUCAGGGCUGCGAUCAAGGGAGAACUGGUCUCAGCUACUGGGCACUCUGCUACUGCCUGGACACUUCUGUGUCAAAGUCUGGGUGAUGGGUACUGGAGAGUCUGAAGAUGUGCAAGAAGCUCUUUGGGGUGGAAAGAGGUUAGAGUAGAAUAGAAAAUACCCAGUGAAAGGACAGCCUGUCCUGGGGUAGCAGCAGCAGCCCACAGAUUAUUAACACUGGAGUUAGCCAGAGUCUGGGACCCCAGAGAUAGGUGAGCUUUCCCCUGCUGGGUCAUGGCGUGACAGCCUUAUUACUGCAACAGCAGCAUGCAAGGGAACUCAGUGGGUCAGAAGGUACAUUUAUUUCCAUCUGCUCAUCCCAAGGGUCUUUUGAGCAGAACUUGAACAAGCAGGAUCUGUCCCAAGAUGUGUUCCUCCCUGUAUCUGCCUUCUUCCCACGCACGUUAGCGGUUUAGCUAAAGUUGGAUGUCAGUUUUGGUCUCCAUUAUCAUCCUCACACUAAAUCCUUCUAAAAUGCUUUAUCAAUGCUGAGCCCAGGGACCGCACCAAGUUCACAUGCUGCUCUUCAUGGCGUGGGUUCCAACCACCACCACCUUCUCCACAACUCUCCUCCCUACAGCUCAAUGUUAGAAUUGCUGUCCUUCAGCUUUCAAGCCUGCUCUUAGGAGCCAGGGUCUUAGGAAAUGAGAGACUGGUGAGGGUAGGGUGCUGGGGUCAGUGAGGGAGAGCAGAGGCAGAAGGUGACAGGGAGAAAGCAUGCAGACUGGAAGAAGCAGACGACCCUUCUAAAGGGAAGGCAGAGGCUAGAUGGUAACGGAGAGCCUUGCUCAACAGUGUAGCCAAGGAUGGCCAGGCUAGAGGGAGUCCCAUGUUGGAGCCCCAGCUCUAUCAACCCUGCACAGGCCAGUGGAGGCACAGUGUAGCCAAGAGUCACACAUUAUGAGGGGUUCUCGUUGGCACGGGGGCUGGAGACUCCUGGUUCUUGUUAUGUUCUCUUCAGAAAGGAGAGUUGAGCAAUACACCUAUGGCCGCCACCCUCACCAGGAGCCUGUCCUUACUCUAGGUGGCACACACUGGCUCACCCAGCCACAGUGCGCCAACCCCUGGAUCCUAAGCUUAGCUUAGGGAGAAGCUUAGCUUAGGGUCCAGGGGCUUCUCCCAAUGUCUCUCUAGAACAUGUCUCUUCAACUUCCAAAGUCUCUUGCUUCUUGUAAUUCAAGUCUCCGUUCAGACUUCCACAAAGCUAGGCCUUCCAGUUCCUGCCCCUCGCCCCUCUCUUUCAGGGUGUCUCACUUCAGUUUGCACUCACAUGGCCCUCCCCGGGCUCCUCUUCUGGUUUACAUAAAUAUGAACUCUAUGACACUUUUUAAAGAUUCUGGACUGGUUCUAUCUUGGUUGCCACCUUGUCCCUAACACAAAACUUGGCACGUAGUACUGUUAUGAUAAAAAAAAAAUGAGUGAGUUAAAAAGGAAUGUUAAGGGCUGGAGAGAUGGCUCAGUGGUUAAGAGCACCCGACUGCUCUUCCAGAGGUCAUGAGUUCAAUUCCCAGCAACCACAUGGUGGCUCACAACCAUCUGUAAAGAGAUCCGAUUCCCUCUUCUGGUGUAUCUGAAGACAGCUACAGUGUACUUAUAUAUAAUAAAUGAAUAAAUCUUUUAAAAAAAGUUAAAAAGGAAUGUUAAUAUCAAAAUGGCAAGGUGGAGACACCAAGGAAGGGAUAGAAGAGGCACACUUAUAUUAGGUCCGAGAGGCAAGCUGACCAGGAAGAAAAAGGAUAGGGUUUGAGGGCAAGGGCAGGCCUGGUCUUCACAGGUUCUGUCUGAGGCCCAUGAGACCCCUCUGAGGAACCUCAUCAGGCGUCUUGCCCUCUCACACACUCUUGCACCCGAUGCAGCUAAUCCGAGAGUAAAGGGUGAGGGGAACUGGCUUUCAGUGAAGCUGCGCCUGUUUCAGGGAGGGGUCUACCGGGAUGAGUAACCAAGGUAACUGCAGGUGCACCUUCACAGUUCUGUCUCCAGAUGGUUGUAUGGAUGCCUUGUUGCAGCUAGACACAUUCGCCCGCACGCACGGUAAGUAGACUCUGUGUCCUCCAAGACUCGGCCUGAUCAUUAGUUUUGAAACACCUACCCUUUCGUGGAGCUCCUGAAAGGAAAAUGCCCCAGAGGGAAGAUCUGAUCCACCAUGAUUUGGGACAGAAAAUAGGUAAUUUUACUCCAUGAAUAUGCUACCCACUUCAUAAACAUUUGUUGAAUUUUCUUUAAAAUCCACAAUGUAGAACUGCUUAUCACCUCGGGCUAGCCUGUGCUCAUCUCUUGUUGGAGCGCUCCGCUUAGCUUUACGAACUAAGCUUCUGCUUUGCUGACUAAACCUGCCUAAACUCUCUGUGUUUCUUGGCUGAAUUCAUAUCUUCAAGUGGUGGGGACCUAAGAGACACUGUCACCAUCAGGCCUGCCACAGUAGGCCCAGUGCACAUGAGCUGCAGCCAUGAGCACAGGACCUGCAACAGCUCCAGCACCAGGAACUGGAUGUUCUGGGCAUGCGCUGGCCACUUAUCAGCACAUAAAUCAUAAAGCACUAAGUGAAGACUGUUUACACAACUCAAGUCUGCUCUCCGGUGCCUUAAGCAAGACCAACAGUAAAACCACUGUGGAGAGUGGAGGGGUCAAGCCCAGAGGUUGCUUCUCCAAGCCAUUCAGAGCUUUAACCAUAACAACUAGUAUGAUGUGCUAGCCUGCUAAUGGAUUAGAAUUUCUUUCCCAAGUAGCAAUUGGAGGUUCCAUAUGGAUGUGAUGAUGCACAACUGUAAUCCCAGCUGCAAAAUGCUAUCUCCUCUAUUGCAAACAUGGGCUCUCGGCAGCUGCAAAGGUCUGCACUGGGACUGCAAGGAAUGCCCCCCAACAGCCAGGCAUGGCUGGAAGAGGGGUUCACAGGACUCACCCUUCACUGAUGAACUGCUACUGUUUGCUACUGAUAGAUUCAGGGGAAACUAGAGUGAUUGCCUUCAGUUGCCAACAAGCUGGUCACUCUACCAGCUUCCUGUGAGUGGUCCCAAUCCAGUGGAUGCAGAGAUGGCUCUGGUUAAAUUAAACGGGUCACAAAACAGAAAAAAAAAGGUGAGCCGUGAAGACAAUAGGCAUGGGGUGGGGGGAGAAAGGAGGGGGAGAAAGAACCAACUUAGUAAAAAGAACAGGAAACAGGCAGUUGUUGAGAUACAAAAUGAGCCCUUGCCAGCCACUGGUCCUUAAUUUCAGGCCUCCUUCCCUCUAGAACCAAGAGCAGCUUGGUUCUCUGUUGUUUAUAAAUUGCUCCAUCUGCGGUAUUUGGUGAUAGCAACACAACUGGAUUUAAACAACUGCUUUCUUCUGUGGCCUUGAGCAAGUCCUUUGUCUUUUGGAGUUCCUCCAUAUUUUGUUUGUUCUGUGUCUACUGGGGAAAGCAGGAAGAUAUACAGAGUAUCUGUUCCCUGAGGAGAACAUAGUAUCAUAUAGUAAUCUCUCCUUCUCCUUGCUGUCCCUGCCACUCUGCCACCGCUUCCAGCCUCAAGGGAUUAGCAUUUCAGAGUGGGUGUUGGAGAUAAGGAAGAGGCUCUCCCGAUGCCCGACAUUAGGUGCCACAGGGAGACACUCUUCUAGAAUGACUGAUUCUUAGGCGGUUUUGUGGAAGCAGUGGAAGGGGGGACCUCUGCACGAAUCACCUCGACAUUUUCAAAUGCUUCCAAUUGAUCUGUACAUAUCCCGUGAGCAAGACAUACUUCCCUCCUGGACCCAUACCCACAACUGCCUCAAACAGCCUGAAAUGUCGUUAUCCUGAAUUCUCUUGAGCAGUGGAACAUGUACUGUAUGUGCUGUGCUCACGAAUCAUCUCCAAACGAUUACAAAGUCUCAGCUGGGGCCGAGCAGCUGUUACCCAGAUGUUCUGCACAGCAGCUGGAGCAUUGUUUGUACCAAUAAACACCAUCCCGUGUGAGAGCCGAGCUGAAAGUGGUGACAACAACUGCCAUGAAGACCCUUCUCAGGGAAGAUGAAUAAGCCCAGAGCCUGAGCGGACCCUCCCCCACAGCGGGCACUGCCUGCCUCACAGCCCGCUGUGACCGAGGUGCUGAGUGUUAGCACCAGGUUCAGAUCUACGGCCAGUUUGCUAUUAGAGAUGGAUGUUCAGAGGUGUGUGCUAAAUCCCACCUCCCAGUUUGUGGUUCCUAAGCCCUGCCUGAACCCUUUGUCGUGUCCCUCAGAGAUCUGAAGAGAUGGAGCUCUGUGUGUGGAUGAGCUUGUUCACUAGUGCUGUGGGUUGGCUGCAGUCCGUUUUAGAAGCAGUAGGUCCACCUCUCUACGACAUCCUGUUAGUGUUCUGCUCUCAUUUCUGCUAGGUAAUAACUGCUUCAGUAACCAGCCAUUGUUUGGAAGAUGAUCAGGCAGUUCAUGUGCCCACCAGCAGGGGCGCUGAAGCCAGGGCUAUUGUGUCAGUUCUCGGUAGGACUUGAGCCUAGCUGGCCAUCCAAACCUCAUUUUGCUGAUUUAGAAGCUCGGACCGCAAUAGUGACAUACUGUGCCAUGUCACUUGGCCAGGUAAUAGCUAAAACAGGCCCCACACUCCUGGUGCUAACGUGUCCUUCCUAGUCUGUUCAAUAGCUGACAUUAAGAGUGAAUCAGUAGCAAGUAGUAUAUUAUCCCUGAAGCCUCGAGAGAAGAUGUGACAUAGGUGAGCUCUAUGGUGAUGUGUCCCUAGAAGGGACAGCCUGCCCUAAAGGCUGAGGUUCCAGGCCUUCCCCGGGUUAUUCAGUGUGCACCCAGAUAAGCUAAGGCCAUUUGUGUGUCUGGGUAUGAUGUGCUGCCCUGACUGUUGGGGCCAUCAAAGGACUACCCACACAGAGGUCAUAUGAGUCAGGGUCAGGGAUGGGCUCAAGUCACCAUGGUAGUCUUCCUCGAGCCUAUUCUCCAGGACACAAGGAGACAACAUGACAUCCCACCUUCUGAUCUGGCACAUAGGUCCCAGUUUGUUUGUCUCAGUUUGAGAACUGGGCACGUGCUAUCCCGAGUCUGUCCUCAGCUGCUGUGGAAGCUUUCUUCCCAAAGGCCAUAAUAAACAUUUUACCUCCAUCAAGCCCUAUGCUGGAGGGCACUUUAAGUUCACCGCCACCAGAGACCAAGUUGAUCUCAUGCAACCCCCAUUGCCUCAGCCCAGGUGACCAAGGACAAGCAAAUCUUGUCUCUCAUGCUUCCACCCCCACCGAGGCAGCUGCAGGGGCCUCAUUUUGAAGUUGAGUAGCUACUGAAAUAUGCAGGUGAAACUUCUAGAAAAACAGUCCCAACCUGCAAAGCAGCUGUGCACACAUGAGGAGCCAAAGGACAAGUGUGUGAGGAUACCAUUCCCUCCCUCCACAUCUGUAAACACACACAUAUGUAAAGACAUAAUAAAUCAAAAUGCAAUUAAAAAGAAAUAGUUUAGCUGAGUAUGGAUUCUCAUACUGGGAUUCUGGAAGCUGAGGCGGGAAGGUUGCUGUGUAUUUGAGGUUAGCCUGGGCUAUUAGUGAGUCCCAGUCCAGAUUGGGGGACAACAUAAGACCCUGUUGAAGAAAAACAAAAGAACACUAGAACACUGAAUACAACCCUCAUCAGUUGUCUGACCAAGAAAGAAAUAAGAUUCUAAUCUAAUGGAGUUGACCAUCCAUCCAUGGUUUCACA